GGUGGUGCAUGGUUGUCGUCAGCUCGUGUCGUGAGAUGUUGGGUUAAGUCCCGCAACGAGCGCAACCCUUAAGCUUAGUUGCCAGCAUUCAGUUGGGCACUCUAAGGUGACUGCCGGUGACAAACCGGAGGAAGGUGGGGAUGACGUCAAAUCAUCAUGCCCCUUAUGACCUGGGCUACACACGUGCUACAAUGGACGGUACAAACGGUUGCCAACCCGCGAGGGGGAGCUAAUCCGAUAAAACCGUUCUCAGUUCGGAUUGUAGGCUGCAACUCGCCUACAUGAAGCCGGAAUCGCUAGUAAUCGUGGAUCAGCAUGCCACGGUGAAUACGUUCCCGGGUCUUGUACACAC
rnacentral:rRNA from 1 species